CAUGUUUUUUCAUUAUUAUAGUUUCCACGCGUUAAAAAUACACUCUCGCUGUCUCGCACAGUGUCUUGACUCUAUAUAUAUGUAUGUUUUUGCAAGAUCAUCAUCAUUUGUAUUCCAGAAUUUGUUGCAUACUGUAUUUUUAUCAAGUAUUUUGACAUGUGGGAUUUGGAAAAUGGUACAUACGGACGUACGUAAUUUUUUGUCAUUUUGACCUUUUCAAAAUCUUAAAGCAAUUAUUAAUUACAACUGUGGAAAUAUAGUUAAAUUAGAUUAAAGUUCUUUUCAUGUACGUUAUGUACACACAGUACUACGGUUUUACUUUGAUUAGCGCCUCUCAUGGGGCCGGUUUACUUGAUGAUUGGCCUUUGGGGAUAGGAGUUCCGUAGCUAUACUCCUGAACCAAAUAAUAAUCGUUAAUAAGAGUAAGAGAUCGAGGACUGGAGACUAGUUCAGCAAUUAGGCAAAGGGUCUUUGCCGGUGUUCUCGCAACUUGGUUUUGUUUUGUUUUUUGUUUUUUUUGAAGAACACAAACUUGGUUUUUUAAGAGCCAAAUAUAAACAAAGUUUUGAUUAGAAAUAUAGGAUACAAAUUUGGACGUAUUGGAGGAAUAUUGGAGGUAUGGCUCUCGUAUGCAACCUAGUAUAGCUGCUACGGAACAUGGGUGAGAUAUAUGUGAGUGUAUGACAGAUAUGGUUGGGAUGCAUGGUGUUGUUGGUCUCUUCUUCUGCAGCAGCAGUCUCUUAAAGCAGCAGCAGCAACAACAACAACAUGAGCAUGGUGAUUUCGGUUUUAGUGCUACACAGUUGUGUUGCCUUGUUUCUUUAGGGUUAGUCUUGUGUGUGAAAGAGAAGUAUGUGCGAUGAAGUGUUUCUCACUUAACCUCUUCUAUAUAUAGUUUAGUGUUGUAACCUUAUUAAUUACCAAGAAGAAUAUCAGAAAAGUUUUGUGUUCUAUAUAUAGUUUAGUGUUGUAACCUUAUUAAUUACCAAGAAGAAUAUCAGAAAAGUUUUGUGUUCAAUUUUACCACAGAACGAAACAAGUAAGUUAAAUGUCCAAUAGUAUUUCUCUUUGCAUUGUGACUAAGUUGUAACCUUAUUAAUUACCAAGAAGAAUAUCAGAAAAGUCAAAUCUUCUAGAGCUCUCUUAAUCAAAACAAAUAAAUGACUAAGGGGGGUGUAUUGUAUAUGGAAUUAGUGGAAGUUUUAAAGAAGUUUAUGGAAUUUGAAAGUCUAGGUGUAUUCAAUACUGACUUUUAAA
rnacentral:lncRNA from 1 species